CAAGGGAUACGGCUCAGUAACGCGUAGUCAACCUACCCUAUGGACGAGAAUAACCUCGGGAAACUGACAAUAAUGCCCGAUAGAACACUAUACCUGGAAUGGUUUGUGUUCCAAAUGAUUUAUCGCCGUAAGAUGGGACUGCGGCCUAUCAGUUUGUUGGUGAGGUGAUGGCCCGCCAAGACGAUUACAGGUACGGGCUCUGAGAGGAGUAGCCCGGAGAUGGGUACUGAGACACGGACCCGGGCCCUAUGGGGGGCAGCACGCCCAAAAACUUUGCAAUGUGCGAAAGCACGACAAGGUUAAUCCCAGUGGUUUCUGCUGAAGGAACCUUUUGUUAGUCCUUUAAACACUAACGAAUAAGGGGUGGGCAAGUUCUGGUGUCAGCCGCCGCGGUAAAACCAGCACCUCAAGUGGUCAGGAUGAUUAUUGGGCCUAAAGCAUCCGUAGCCGGCUCUGUAAGUUUUCGGUUAAAUCUGUACGCUCAACGUACAGGCUGCCGGGAAUACUGCAGAGCUAGGGAGUGGGAGAGGUAGACGGUACUCGGGAGGAAGUGGUAAAAUGCUUUGAUCU
rnacentral:rRNA from 1 species